rnacentral:rRNA from 1 species
GAUGAACGCUGGCGGCGUGCCUAAUACAUGCAAGUCGAGCGAACAGAUAAGGAGCUUGCUCCUUUGACGUUAGCGGCGGACGGGUGAGUAACACGUGGGUAACCUACCUAUAAGACUGGAAUAACUCCGGGAAACCGGGGCUAAUGCCGGAUAACAUUUAGAACCGCAUGGUUCUAAAGUGAAAGAUGGUUUUGCUAUCACUUAUAGAUGGACCCGCGCCGUAUUAGCUAGUCGGUAAGGUAACGGCUUACCAAGGCAACGAUACGUAGCCGACCUGAGAGGGUGAUCGGCCACACUGGAACUGAGACACGGUCCAGACUCCUACGGGAGGCAGCAGUAGGGAAUCUUCCGCAAUGGGCGAAAGCCUGACGGAGCAACGCCGCGUGGGUGAUGAAGGUCUUCGGAUCGUAAAACUCUGUUAUUAGGGAAGAACAAAUGUGUAAGUAACUGUGCACGUCUUGACGGUACCUAAUCAGAAAGCCACGGCUAACUACGUG